rnacentral:misc_RNA from 1 species
GAUGAAGAACGCAGCGAAAUGCGAUACUUGGUGUGAAUUGCAGAAUCCCGUGAACCAUCGAGUCUUUGAACGCAAGUUGCGCCCGAAGCCAUUAGGCCGAGGGCACGCCUGCCUGGGUGUCACACACCGUUACCCUCGCGCCAACGUCCAUCGUUGGCCGCGGCGCGGGGCGUGCGCUGACCUCCCGCGAGCGGGGUCUCGUGGUUGGUUGAAAAUCGAGUUCGCGGUCGAGGGUGCCGUGAUGAAAUGGUGGAUGGGCGACGCCCGAGGCCAAUCACGCGCGACUCUGUCCGGCCCGGACGCCUGGACCCCUUCGGCGUCUCCGGACGCUCUUUGGCGAGACCUCAGGUCAGGCGGGGCUACCCGCUGAGUUUAAACAUAUCAAUAAGCGGAGGA